rnacentral:rRNA from 1 species
AGCGCAGGCGGGAAGACAAGUUGGAAGUGAAAUCUAUGGGCUCAACCCACAAACUGCUUUCAAAACUGUUUUUUCUUGAGUAGUGCAGAGGUGGGCGGAAUUCCCGGUGUAGCGGUGGAAUGCGUAGAUAUCGGGAGGAACACCAGUGGCGAAGGCGGCCUACUGGGCACCAACUGACGCUGAGGCUCGAAAGUGUGGGUAAGCAAACA